CUGCCGGUGGGAGUCCGGUCCGGGUAGCUGUCAGGAGGCCCGGUAGCAGGCUGGCCGCUUGGUUUGGAAACGGGCAGGGUCGAAGCCCAGCGUCGAAAGCCCCGUUGGGGGAAGCAACUGAGCGGUCCGUAACGCGA
rfam:Mycobacterium tuberculosis H37Rv complete genome.